rnacentral:tRNA from 1 species
UGGAUUGCUAGCUCAACUGGAUAAGAGUAGCGGACCUUUAAUCCGUCAGUUCUGGGUUCGAAUCCCAGGCAAUCCACCAA